rnacentral:rRNA from 1 species
GACGAACGCUGGCGGCGUGCUUAACACAUGCAAGUCGAACGGAAAGGCCCUGCUUUUGUGGGGUGCUCGAGUGGCGAACGGGUGAGUAACACGUGAGUAACCUGCCCUUGACUUUGGGAUAACUUCAGGAAACUGGGGCUAAUACCGGAUAGGAGCUCCUGCUGCAUGGUGGGGGUUGGAAAGUUUCGGCGGUUGGGGAUGGACUCGCGGCUUAUCAGCUUGUUGGUGGGGUAGCGGCUUACCAAGGCUUUGACGGGUAGCCGGCCUGAGAGGGUGACCGGCCACAUGGGGACUGAGAUACGGCCCAGACGCCUACGGGAGGCAGCAGUGGGGAAUAUGGCACAAUGGGCGGAAGCCUGAUGCAGCAACGCCGCGUGCGGGAUGACGGCCUUCGGGUUGUAAACCGCUUUCGCCUGUGACGAAGCGUGAGUGACGGUAAUGGGUAAAGAAGCACCGGCUAACUACGUG